UGAGGAAUAUUGGACAAUGGAUGGAAAUCUGAUCCAGCCAUGCCGCGUGCAGGAAGACGGCCCUAUGGGUUGUAAACUGCUUUUGUAUGGGAGCAAUAAGAUCUACGUGUAGAUUGAUGAGAGUACCAUACGAAUAAGCACCGGCUAACUCCGUGCCAGCAGCCGCGGUAAUACGGAGGGUGCAAGCGUUAUCCGGAUUUAUUGGGUUUAAAGGGUGCGUAGGCGGUUUGAUAAGUCAGCGGUGAAAUAUUUCAGCUUAACUGGAAGGGUGCCGUUGAUACUGUCGAGCUUGAAUUUAGUUGCUGUGGGUGGAAUGUGUGGUGUAGCGGUGAAAUGCAUAGAUAUCACACAGAAUAUCGAUUGCGAAGGCAGCUCACAAAGCUAAUAUUGACGCUGAUGCACGAAAGUGUGGGGAUCAAACA
rnacentral:rRNA from 2 species